CGUGAGUGGCGGACGGGUGAGUAACGCGUGGGUAACCUGCCUCAUACAGGGGAUAACAGUUAGAAAUGACUGCUAAUACCGCAUAGACCACAGCACCGCAUGGUGUAGGGGUAAAAACUCCGGUGGUAUGAGAUGGACCCGCGUCUGAUUAGGUAGUUGGUGGGGUAACGGCCUACAAGCCGACGAUCAGUAGCCGACCUGAGAGGGUGACCGGCCACAUUGGGACUGAGACACGGCCCAA
rnacentral:rRNA from 1 species